rnacentral:rRNA from 1 species
AUGAGCAGGCUCAGGAUGAAGGGCGGCGGCUUGUAUCCGAGCUUCAUCGGAGUUGAUGUGGAGCCCAAGCGCCUCAAAGACUUCCUGCACGAGGAGAAAUUGUACACAUUUGUCGGUUUCAGCAUUGGAGGUGACAAGCGGAUGCUGAACAAGUCUGGUUUGGAGAUCAACCCCAACAACUUCAUUGACAUGCAGCGCAAGUGGAAAGAUCCAAAGACCAGCAAAUACUACGACUCCUUGGCCGAUGUUGCAGGCGGCGUAAUCCACCCAUUCUACAGCGGCAUGAAGAAGAAGAUGGACAAGGGAGAACACAAACUGUGGGGGACCAGCCCGCUGCCAGACAACCUCAUCACGUACGCAGGAAUAGAUGCGUACGCCACGUACAAGUCAUGGAAGACAAUCGACAACAUCGUGACAGGUUGGGAUAUUUCAAAAGAGUAG